GUGCCAGCAGCCGCGGUAAUACGGGGGGGGCAAGCGUUGUUCGGAAUUACUGGGCGUAAAGGGCGUGAAGGCGGCCAACUAAGUCGGAUGUGAAAUCCCCAGGCUCAACCUGGGAACUGCAUCCGAUACUGGAUGGCUUGAAUCCGGGAGAGGGAUGCAGAAUUCCAGGUGUAGCGGUGAAAUGCGUAGAUAUCUGGAGGAAUACCGGUGGCGAAGGCGGCAUCCUGGACCGGCAUUGACGCUGUAGCGCGAAAGCCAGGGGAGCAAACGGGAUUAGAAACCCCCGUAGUCC
rnacentral:rRNA from 1 species